GGCUCAUUAACCAUCCAUCAGGUCAACCUCUAAGCCAGUAAGACAAACUAUUGUAUAAACUUCAGCGCAUUACGGGUAUUGUCGAUUACAUUACUAGGCAAGACAAUAAAUAAAAUCAUGAAGAACCACACAGGAAACUGUUGAGAAUAUAGUUGAAUUUGUUUGGUCUUUCAAUUUGUGGAACAUGAGAUGCAUCCUUUAUUGAUUCCAACUUCACAUUCUUCCCAAUCAACCUGUCAAGUUAAUGAGAAAAAUCAAUGCAACUCUGUAACUUUGUCAUUUUUCAACUUUUAAUUGAUAAAAGCACAUAUUUAAUGUGUACAAGCACCCAUUUAAUUGCAAUUAAUGGUAAUUGUUAAGCAUCAAAUAAAUCAGGAAAUCAUUUUGAUGAAGUGCAGCAAGUACGUACCCCUUGAGUUCAAUUGCCAUAUCCAAAGGAAAUAUGCUGUCGUGUUCUCCCCAGACUAACAACACAUCCUAAAUGCCAAAAGACAAUUCAAACCAGAGUAAGUUAGAUGAACUAAAAUGUAUAUGUCCAAUAGGAAAAAUAGUUGAAUUUAAUCAAAUUCAGAUUGGAAUUGAAAUUAAAUCAAAAUUAAAAAAUAAAUCUACCAUUCAUUCUUGAUUCUAUGAACCUUAAAAUGGAUUCGACAGUUCCUAUAACUGUAUAAUUCAUCCAGUGCAACCAAGUAUCUUCCAUAUCAAAAUUCUAACUGUGGUUUGAGAGUUACCUGUUGAAGUGGAGAAAUAUUUACUGUUUCAUCUCGUCCAAGGGUUAACCCCUUGAGAAGUUCCAACUUUUCACUCCUGUUCUCUGCAUACAAUUUCUGCAUCCACAUAAAAAAAAAUAAAAAAGCCCAUUUGCCCUUGGAAAAUACGGAUCAGCAAUUCAGGUAGAAAGGUUUUCUCAGUGCUCACUAGCUCUUAACUCAGUAUUGAAACAGGUUGAUACCCUUUACAGGUAAAAAUCCUUGUCAAUUAUUGACACAACUAUGGCUGCUAGUUCAAGAAUAUACCCUCAGUGAAUCAACAGAGAAGUAAAUGACACAGCUCCAUAGCAAUUUUUAAUUUUAAUUAGUUCAGCUUUUCUAUGUUCAAAAGAAAUUAUAAAAUGUCAAUCAUUGCAGUAAUUAAAAAGCAUUAAUUGAGCUAUCAACCAAAAAGACUUUCUGGCGUUGCCGACUUGCAUAGGUAAGCAUCCACACCUAACUGGGAAACUGCGUAAUAUUCAAUUAAAGCAUUUUCUUGACAUUUGUAUCUGCCAAGUUGAUUUUCUUAAUUUAACGUUGAAAAAGAAAUCAGGUUAGAGAAGAAAACGAAAUAUAUCUUUUCCUUAACUUAAUUACUACUAAUUGUGAACUUCUAAUUAAUUACCAUUUUUGGGUUUCAAAAAUCAAGAAAGAAAGAGAGCAGCUUGGUGCAUAAUUUUGUAUGCCUCUGACUGUAUGUUCACUGAAUAAGAAAUUGUUAGUUAAAUGCUUACGGAAAUGAAGUCUUUCAAGAAAAAGUCUGGAAUCAUAUGGAGACGACUGAGCCUGAACACGGCCAGGCCAAUCAAAGCUCUCAAAUGUGAGGCCUCCUUUGGCAGCAUAAGAUCGCCAAUACUGUCCAACUUAGACUUCCUUAUCAACUCUUCGUUAUCACUUUUCCUCAUGUUAACCCCAGAGCUCGCUAUCACCACCUUCUCUACCCUCUCUGGCCACAUCCUCGCCAUGUGGUACGCUACGAACCCACCAUAGCUGGUGCCCACCACAGAAUAUUUCUCCACUCCCAACUUUUGUAGCAACUUCGAAACGGAAUCUGCCUGGAAGAUCUCUGAUCUUGCAGAGGACUUUGUUGUUGAUUCUCCGAAGAAUAUUAAGUCUGGGACGUAGAGGUUGAAGUGAGAUGAAAAGAACUGAACCUGCCGGCGCCAUUGCCAGAGAGCGGCUGGACCGAAGCCGUGGAUGAAGACGAGAGAUGGUUUGUGGGCAGAGGUUUGAUUAUCAGGAUUUUGGCUCCAGAAAUGGAUGGUGGUGUCGUUGUCAAUGUCGAUGGCGUGGCGGGAGAGGCCGGAGGAGGUGAAGCAGAGACGGAGAUAGGAAGCGUAUAGUGAUAUAGGGCUGAGAAAAGACAGUGCCAUUGGAUGGAGUGGCCAGGCUAGAGAGUAAAGGAUUGAAAUUGAGAGAAACAAACGGUCACUUCGGUGGUUGUCUGUUGUUCUUCUUUUUGUUAGUUGUUAAUUUAAGGGUCAAUUUCAUUACCUGGCCUCUUAGGUUGAAAAAAGUUACAGUACAUACAUUUUCAAGAAUGGUGUCCCUAGCUAGGUGAAGGUCAUAUAUAUAUAUAUAUAAAGAUCCAUUCAUUAAUCUUAUAAAAUUAAUAUACAUAUUAAGGAAUUGUUUUUUU
rnacentral:misc_RNA from 1 species